rnacentral:lncRNA from 1 species
CUAGAGGAGGUACCAGAGAAAGUGACAGUCAAACACAAGCUAAAAAUUCAAAGUAUUUUCUGUAUCAUAAUCUAAGGAAUUAGUGUAUGAGAAGGAGAUACAUACCUGAUUUGGAGGCAAAAAAUCUGGUUUUGAGUUUGGCUCUUUCAUUGUAGUAGAUAUCUUAUCUUAGACUAACCAUGCAACUGCUUCAGGCAUUGGUUAUCCCUUCUCUGAAAUGUAGGGUCUAGACUCAUUUAUUCAGUGACCUUCUUGAAUUAUAAUUGCUUAUGAUUGUCUUUUGAGAUUUGUGUUAUUCUUGCAAGUGGAGAGGAGGGAUUUACAGAAACCAGUUAAUGUUUUCUUUGUCUGAUGGUAAGUGACAUGUUCUGUGGUGGCUUAUUGAUAUUAGAAGAUACUAACAUGGGGCAGAGGCAGAGGCAAAGCAGCAGUUUGCUCAUAUAAGCUACUUCUGGUUUUUGGCUUGUUAAUGUUAGAUUCAGCCACAGAGACAGAAGCACCUCUCUAACUUCAGUGGUGAAGACUGUAUAGUUAGUUGUGAGAUAGUGGGAGACCAUAAAAUAAGGUUGCCAUGGUCAUUUGCUGGCUUGUUCUGGGUGAUGAUACAGUUAGUUCAUUAUGAGAUAUGAGGGA